UGUGUAUAUGCCGAUUCGCCCCCUCCCCGUCUCUUUUAUACCGACCCCGUCACCGAGUGGGCGUGGUCAGAGCACUGCAGGUGGACGCGUGGGGCGGGGCAUGUCUCUACCAGGCACCGUGGAGAUGAGAUGCGCGACGGGCAGAGAGCGGUCAGUCGCGAUAAACAACGCGCGGACGUGACGAGAUAGUGUGGAGGACUGAAGAGACGGCGAGACGGCGAGAGUCAAGAUAGCAAUUACGUCCUCGUAAUGCCAAGAAGAGCGGUUGGGGGUUUGGAGGACGGCUCUCGUACUAGUC
ensembl:ncRNA Y37A1B.333 ncRNA